rnacentral:lncRNA from 1 species
GAUUUGGAGGCUCCCAUUGAUAGUUUUUGGGGCUCCCAUUGAUAAUUUUCGGGCUCCCAUUGAUAAUUUCGGGGUUCCCAUUGAUAAUUUUGGGGUUUCCAUUGAUAAUUUUUGGGCUCCCAUUGAUAAUUCCGGGGUUCCCAUUGAUAAUUUCUGGGGUUCCCAUUGAUAAUUUUGGGUUCCCAUUGAUAAUUCCGGGGUUCCAUUGAUAAUUUUCAGGCUCCCAUUGAUAAUUCCGGGGUUCCCAUUGAUAGUUUUUGGGGUUUCCAUUGAUAAUUUUCGGGCUCCCAUUGAUAAUUCCGGGGUUCCCAAUCAGACGUCGCCGUUUCCCAUUCACUUGGGGGGGAUUUUUAUUCAGAUUCUGGGGGUUCCCUUUCAGUGGGGCUGGGUGGAUCGCCCCCCAGGAAGCUCAGUGGGUCGCUAUGGGGCAGCGCGCAUUGCUAUGGGGCGCUAAGGGGCAGUGUGGGUCUCCACGGGUCGCUAUGGGGCAGCAUAGGUCUCAGUGGGGCGCUAUGGGUCGCCGUGGGUCUCGGUGGGUUGCCCCCAGGGGGGGCUCAGUGGGUCGCUAUGGGGCAGCGUGGGUCUCAGUGAGUCGCUGUGGGUCUCGGUGAGCUGCUAUGGGGCAGUGUGGGCCUCAGAGGGGCACUAUGGGGCAGUAUAGGUCGCUAUGGGGCAGUGUGGGUCUCGGUGAGCUGCUAUGGGGCAGUGUGGGUCUCGGUGGGUUGCUGUGGGGCUCAGUGGGUCGCUCCCGGGGGGGCUCACUGGGUUGCUAUGGGGCUCAGUGAGGGCGCUAUGGGGCAGUGUGAGUUCCCAUGGGUUGCUAUGGGGCAGUGUGGGCCUCCGUGGGGCGCUAUGGGGCAGAACAGGUCUCAGUGGGCCGCUCCUGGGGGGUGCUCAGUGUGUCGCUAUGGGGCAGUGUGGGUCUCCACGGGUCGCUAUGGGGCAGCAUGAGUUUUCAUGGGACGCUAUGGGUCGCUGUGGGUCUCAGUGGGGCACUAUGGGGCUGUAUAGGUUGCUGUGGGGCAGCGUGGGUCUCCACAGGUCGCUAUGGGUCACUGUGGGUCUCAGUGGGUUGCCUCCAGGGGGGGCUCAGUGGGUCGCUAUGGGGCAGCGUGAGUUUCCACGGGUCGCUAUGGGGCAGCAUAGGUCUCAGUGGGGCGCUAUGGGUCGCCGUGGGUCUCCACGGGUCGCUAUGGGGCAGCGUGAGUUUCCAUGGGUCGCUAUGGGUCGCUGUGGGUCACACUGGACCGCUCCUGGGGGGUGCUCAGAGGCUUGCUAUGGGGCAGCGUAGGUCUCAGUGGGUCGCUAUGGGUCACCGUGGGUCUCAGUGGGUCGCUCCCGGGGGGUUCACUGGGUUGCUAUGGGGCUCAGAGAGGGCGCUAUGGGUCAGCGUGAGUUUCCACGAGUCGCUAUGGGGCAGUGUGGGCCUCAGUGGGGCGCUAUGGGGCAGCGUGGGUCUCCACGGGUCGCUAUGGGGCAGCAUAGGUCUCCGUGGGGCACUAUGGGUCGCCGUGGGUCUCGGUGGGUUGCCCCCAGGGGGGGCUCAGUGGGUCGCUAUGGGGCAGCGUGAGUUUCCAUGGGUCGCUAUGGGGCAGUGUGGGUCUCAGUGGGUCACUGUGGGUCUCGGUGAGCUGCUAUGGGGCAGUGUGGGCCUCAGUGGGUCACUGUGGGUUUCGGUGAGCUGCUAUGGGGCAGUGUGGGUCUCGGUGGGUCGCUCCCGGGGGGGGCUCACUGGGUUGCU